AGAAGAAGCACGUGCGUAGUUGGGCAGAACCCCUCGACCAGUGCAGGACAGAUUCCAUUAAAUGAUAAUCGCAGAGAAAGGGACAGGGAAACAACUCCAGCUAUUGAAUCCUGCAAGGCCUAAUUCCGAUUUUUCAGGGGGUUCUGCAGCACUCUCAGCACCCCUACUUCCCGUGGCUGUGUGAAAAUACUCACCCAGCGCUUUCAGGAGUUCUUCAAAGUUUUCAGAAGUCUUCAUUUUCCACAACCCAGAGAAGUUUGCAA